GAGAUAUUGCAGAUCGGGUUGGGAAAGGUCAAAAUAAUUAGUCAUAGGAGAUGAUACGAGGAAGAGAAGGAGGAGGAGGUGGGGGGAGUGGUGCAACAGAAACACUUCUAGUGUUGGAGCACAGGAAGCCAGCUCUGAAACAUUUGGACUUUCGUUGUCUGACAUUGCCUUUGCCACUCCUUCUUCCUUCCUCCCACCUUUGCCUUCCCCACCACCUCCUCGAAAUUCCCCUGCCUUCAUCUCUGGCCCUGCUGACGACUUCGCCAUGUGAGUUGUCAGUUUUUGCUACCAGUGAUUUCUUUUCUUCAAGCAAAAGAGAGAAGAGUUUAUUUUAUUCUCAGCAGCAUCCCUGGCCAGACUCGGCAAAGAUGAGAAAAGUAGGAUUUCCUAAACACUCAAAAUUCAGAACUGAUGGAGCAGGGGAAGCUCUUCUGCCUAGAAAGAAGAAAGAAGCAAGUGCAGGAGAUGGAGAGAGAAUUUUCUGCAGGGUCCCGGUCAUAGGCCUUUCUUCGCAGUCCCAUUUUUCUCAAGCUUCACUUGAUUUCUGUUACUUUUAACUAGAUGAAGGUUAGCAAAUAAAGGCACUGAACUUUCUGUAAAGAGGCA
rnacentral:lncRNA from 13 species